CCAGCAGCCGCGGUAAUUCCAGCUCCAAUAGCGUAUAUUUAAGUUGUUGCAGUUAAAAAGCUCGUAGUUGGAUUUCGGGUCGGUGUUAGCGGUCCGCCUCUGGUGUGCACUGCUAUUGCCGUCCUUUCUGCCGGGGACGUGCGUCUGGGCUUCACUGUCCGGGCCAUGGAGUCGGCGAAGUUACUUUGAGUAAAUUAGAGUGUUCAAAGCAGGCCUACGCUCUGAAUACAUUAGCAUGGAAUAACACGAUAGGACUCUGGCCUAUCUUGUUGGUCUGUAGGACCGGAGUAAUGAUUAAGAGGGACAGUCGGGGGCAUUCGUAUUUCAUUGUCAGAGGUGAAAUUCUUGGAUUUAUGAAAGACGAACUACUGCGAAAGCAUUUGCCAAGGAUGUUUUCAUUAAUCAAGAACGAAAGU
rnacentral:rRNA from 1 species